CAUGGAGGGUGAGAAUCCCGUCCGGCUGACCUUCAGGACGUUUUACGAUACGCUCUCAAAGAGUCGAGUUGUUUGGGAUUGCAGCUCAAAAUGGGAGGUAAAUUUCUCCUAAGGCUAAAUACCGGCGAGAGACCGAUAGCGAACAAGUACCGUGAGGGAAAGAUGAAAAGAAUUUUGAAAAGAAAGUCAAACAGUACGUGAAAUUGUUGAAAGGGAAACGAUUGAAGCCAGUCGUACCGACGGGAAUUCAACUUCUCGAGUGCUAAUCGUGGGUGACGUUGAGCCUCACGGCCUUCGUUGCUUGUGUUGUUGGUGCUUUUGGGGUGUACUUUUCCGUAUGGUAGGUCAGCAUCGAUUUCGAUCGUCAUAAAAUGAUCGGGGGAAUGUAGCUUCGGUCUCGUAUCGGAGUGUUAUAGACCUUGGUAGAUGUGACGAUUGGGAUCGAGGAUUGCAACGAAUACCCUCUGGGCUAUCCGUCUGACCUCUGAAAGUCGCUCGGGUGUCGAAAGCGUGCUUAUGGCUAUUCGAGUUGGCGGUCAACAGGUUAGAACGUGAUUACAUUCGUUAAGGAUGUUGACGUAAUGG
rnacentral:rRNA from 1 species